rnacentral:lncRNA from 1 species
AACGCCUUAGCAGUCUCCAUGGAAGGAGGAGGUGAAGCCUGAGGGAGGAAGAAAAACUCCUGUCUUAGGCAGGAGCCAGGAACAUGGGACCGACCGUCAUGGUCUGGACCUACUGGGCUCAGGUCAGGCACAGGAUCUGCUUCAACCAGGGACUAGUGGAGCAUCUCUGGGCACAAUGAGACCAAAGGCUCUGAUGGCCCCAGUGCAGCUGGGCUGGGACCUGCUGUACCUAAACUCGUGAUGCGGGCUGGCACAAGUCCCAGCAGGAGAGGCAGCCAGCAGCAGCAAGCUGACAUGGGCUCUGCUCUACCCCAAGCCUCUCAAGAGCAGGUCUGUCUGCCGUUCUCACCCCUUGGGGGUUACUUGUUAUCCAGCAUAUCCACAGCAGCAGCUAGGAAACUCCCUGGGAAACUGUAGAGGUCAAGAGAGAGAGAGACUGCCUGCUCACGCCCAGCCCAGGCAGAGCUAGUCAGCUUCAACACAAGAAAAGCACAACCAACGCCCUGACUUUCUCUCCCAUGGUCUCGAUGACUCAAGGGCCCCAGAAGUGCACAGGUCAUUCAGAGUGCCUGCAAGGGCUAUUCUGCUGCCUGGAAGACAAAGGUACAUCUCAGAUGGACCAGAGAUGGAACCCAAAUUCUGACCUUAGAUUCUCAAACAGAUGGACGAGAGAGGGCUGAGCUGGGCACAGCUCAGCUGCUAAGGCAUUUGUCUCAUUGAAUGCCACAAUCAAUCUGAAACUGACAUUAUA